UGUGCAGCUGGAAGGAUUUUUGCUCUUUUUUUUUUUUUUUUACUUUCAGACAGUUGUUAUGAUGCGUAACCUUGGCAACAAUGUGGUUUCGUUGUUACAACCAGGAGCAGCUGAUUAGCAUCUCAAAAGCUCAACAAAUACUUGAACUACAACCCCAAACCUGAGAGGAGUUAAAAAAGGAGGCUUCAUCGGUGCAGAGCAGGACCAAAGAGCAGAGAGAAAAAGGAGGAAGUUCAAACCAUCUCUUCCCGGGUUUCUAAUCAUACAGCCAAACAGAGAUUAAAGAGGAGCGGCAAAAGCAAAUGACGUGGAUUAGCUGAGCUUGCCAACAACUGAUGGUGUCAUCCCGGACAUCUUACUGUGGGAUAUCUUCUCUGCUGCCUGUAAAGUGUGAUAUUACAUCAUCAUCCAUUGCAACUUUUUGAAGAUAAUUGGAGGAUAUGAGUUACAAAUUAUCCAAAUAAGGUGACCAGUGUGAGGAAUCCGAGGCUGCAAAAGGGAGGAUGGAGAUUAUGCAUUACAGAGGGUGGCCAACUUCAGUCUAGCACAACAAGACACGGUUAUGUUAUGAUGACAUCACUUCUUUUGCUACAGUGGUGCACGAAAAAAAUAAUAAAAACCGCCUCAUUUGCUGUGGUUUUUUAAAUUUUUAUCUCUAUUAUUAUUAAACAUCCUGAUUUAGCCACUGAUCUGUUGCGGGAGGACCAGGGAUGGGUGUGUGAGUGAGUGUGUGUGUGUGUGUGUGUGUGUGUGUGUGCUUGGGCAUUCGAGUCACAUUCAGAAAGUAAAGCCGUGGCAGGCUGAUCACUCUCUCGUUCGCAUAGUGCUUAAAGCCGUUUAUGUAACGCCUGGUGUUCUGUUGCCAGUCAAGUCAGUCAGACUCGGCUCUCUGGCUCCGAAGAACACAAAGUAACUACUCGCUGUGCAACAUGGAAGUCCUCCCUGCCUUUCGUCGCUCGGCACAGAUAACACGGAUAAUGUGGUCGUUUAAUACUCGCUGAGAGCCUCACGGUGCUCUGCCUCCACCGUCUGCACCGCACUGACUCUACCAACAGUACAGCAGAGGGAUGACGCCAUUUCUGUAGCUGACAGUCGGACAGAAAGGAGGAACACCAGAGCUAAAAAAAAAUUGCUGGGACCGUACACGCAAUUUUCAGCUAGCAAAUGCUUAAACACAAUUUCCCCCUCCGACACAAAUCUCUUUUGUCUUUUUUUAACUGUUCAUUUUCGCUCUCUCUCUCUCCCUCUCUCGUCUCGCUGCUUGCUCUCUGCAGAGUACACGCGACAGCAAAAAAAUAAAUAAAUAAAAAAUUGAGCGAUAAUAACUCCGUGAAACACAGUCACAAACCCUUUAUAUAAACAUGUCACGUCGUUAAACCGCAACACAGCGACAGCGUUGAGUUAAACAAAGUGAGAGGCAUGUGAAAACUCACUUUGCUCGCUCUGAAAAUGUUUUCUUUAUCGACAGCUCCGACAUUUCGCUGACUGUUUUUUUGAUUGAGCUGACAAAGAAACAAGUCGACGGAGCGGUUUGCAGCAAGGUCAAGCCCGAGGAAG